CCUACGGGAGGCAGCAGUGGGGAAUAUUGCACAAUGGGGGAAACCCUGAUGCAGCGACGCCGCGUGAGUGAAGAAGUAUUUCGGUACGUAAAGCUCUAUCAGCAGGGAAGAAAAUGACGGUACCUGACUAAGAAGCCCCGGCUAACUACGUGCCAGCAGCCGCGGUAAUACGUAGGGGGCAAGCGUUAUCCGGAUUUACUGGGUGUAAAGGGAGCGUAGACGGCAGCGCAAGUCUGGAGUGAAAUCCCAUGGCUUAACCAUGGAACUGCUUUGGAAACUGUGCAGCUGGAGUGCAGGAGAGGUAAGCGGAAUUCCUAGUGUAGCGGUGAAAUGCGUAGAUAUUAGGAGGAACACCAGUGGCGAAGGCGGCAUACCGGCGCUCAACUGACGCUCAUGCACGAAAGUGUGGGUAUCGAACAGGAUUAGAUACCCGGGUAGUC
rnacentral:rRNA from 1 species